CCUUGGGGGCAGGCCUACCAUGCCAAGUCGAGCGGUAGCACAGGAGAGCUUGCUCUCUGGGUGACGAGCGGCGGACGGGUGAGUAAUGUCUGGGAAACUGCCUGAUGGAGGGGGAUAACUACUGGAAACGGUAGCUAAUACCGCAUGACGUCGCAAGACCAAAGUGGGGGACCUUCGGGCCUCACGCCAUCGGAUGUGCCCAGAUGGGAUUAGCUAGUAGGUGAGGUAAUGGCUCACCUAGGCGACGAUCCCUAGCUGGUCUGAGAGGAUGACCAGCCACACUGGAACUGAGACACGGUCCAGACUCCUACGGGAGGCAGCAGUGGGGAAUAUUGCACAAUGGGCGCAAGCCUGAUGCAGCCAUGCCGCGUGUGUGAAGAAGGCCUUAGGGUUGUAAAGCACUUUCAGCGAGGAGGAAGGCGUUGCAGUUAAUAGCUGCAGCGAUUGACGUUACUCGCAGAAGAAGCACCGGCUAACUCCGUGCCAGCAGCCGCGGUAAUACGGAGGGUGCAAGCGUUAAUCGGAAUUACUGGGCGUAAAGCGCACGCAG
rnacentral:rRNA from 1 species